UGUCUCCCGUCGGAGGGAGACAGAUUUCAUGCUUGCAUGAAAUCAGAAGGAGGAC
rnacentral:sRNA from 1 species